rnacentral:rRNA from 1 species
UACGUAGGGUGCAAGCGUUGUCCGGAAUUAUUGGGCGUAAAGAGCUCGUAGGCGGUCUGUUACGUCGGCUGUGAAAACCUGGGGCUCAACCCCGGGCCUGCAGCCGAUACGGGCAGACUAGAGUUCGGAAGAGGCGAGUGGAAUUCCCGGUGUAGCGGUGAAAUGCGCAGAUAUCGGGAGGAACACCUAUGGCGAAGGCAGCUCGCUGGGACGUUACUGACGCUGAGACGCGAAAGCGUGGGGAGCAAACAGG